rnacentral:lncRNA from 1 species
ACGCCAAGAACCUGGACACCCUCCACCGGUAACAUAUUUUGGCGAGCCAGACAAGAGGACCCUUGGUGGGCAGUGCCUAAACAGAGACAACUACAGGUUUCUGGCUGUGGCCACUCUCUGGUGAAACUAAGGGGUUUCUGUGUGGAGGUGCCUAACAGCCACCGUCCAGUUUGGUAGUAUGAUGCCUCUGGCUUCCCUCUAUCACACGUCUUCUUUUCGAGUAAAGGUUUUUCAUAAAUGUGAGCGUGGAAGAAGAAACCAGUUAAAUAUGGAACUUCACACCAGGACACAAAAGAUGGUGUCAGAAGCGGAUCCGAAGUGGAACUUUUAGUGACCCUCAGGAGCACUGAAUGAACAUGCAAGGAACCUGCAGGACCCACUUGUGUCCAUUGAUCUCUGGGAGCAGCUGGGAUAAGCUCCUUUUCGGAUUUCAGAGCUCCAUGGACUUGUGUCUUGAGAUCCCUGAGUUUCUUUGAGCAAAUUUCUGAUCCAAAAUGGGUUUGGCAUCAUGGCAGAAACAGGACUGGGUCCACGAAUGGAUUUGAUCCAGGAAUGAACUGGCUUGGAUCCAGUCAGAGGUCUCUUACAUCUGACUGGGUCAGAAAGGAACUGGUAGUAAGCAGUAAUAUUGCAGAGGAUGGUGUGGCAAGCUGAGUCACUAAGGCUGCUCAGGGAAAGGGAACCCAGAAUCUUGGCAUGCCGGCAAAAGGCCCAUGGUUCACUGAGGACAACUCCUUUGCAAUCUAGAACCCAAAGAUUGGAUCUUCUGAGAACAUCAGAGAAAGACUGUCCUUGCCAUCCACACUACAGCAAAGCUUUGGAGCCUUGAACCUUGGGUUCAUGAUCUUACAACUGAGAAGGGCCCCUCCACACUCCUGAACUGUACAACCAUUGAAACUCUUAAGGUAAAAUUAACUAGGAAAGUUUAUCUCCUUAAGAAGAUGGCAUCCUUGAUGUGAACAGCUUUUCCCAAGAUCCUGGAUCAAAACGUCUACUAUCACGAGACUCUUAUAUUUGAAUAUAUUUUCCGGUUUAUGCCUUUAGGAACAAUUGAAAUGAAAGGGGGAUCUAUUAUGUGCACUUAUAGGGUAUACUUUUAUUUGUGAAGGAUUUUGCAUCCAGCCUUAUAUGAAUAACCUUGUACUUUAAUAGAUAAAAGAUGAAGGCUCAAUGUAGGUGAGAAAAUGUAGUGGUACAUAUGUUGCCUCAUAAUCAGUCAAAACUCUUCUUAACCCACAUAAUGGAUUAAAGAGAAUAUUGCCAGGAGGCCUUCGCUUUUCUAAAAUGACAUCAUUUGUUAGGUCCUUUUUCCAUAGUUUAGUAUAAAAGAGGCAAUAAUUAGAAAUGUCACCCUCAUAAUAGGCUCUACAGCAAAUUCUACUUUAAAGGCUAUUGUUACACAACAGACUUUAAAUUAUCUUGUAAAAGUUAUGCUAAAUAAUAGAAUUGGCCAAACAGAAAAGUACCUGUGCAGUUGCUGACACCUGUGGCCUAUGGAGAAAUACAUCAAAUGUAGAUUAUACAAUUUCAGUUGUAGGGGAUUAAUGAAAAGACCACCUAGUCAAGCAAGUAGGCUCUUCAUAUAGCUCAUUCUUUAAUCUAUUUAAUUUUACAUGGUUUGGUUUAUGGGGACCCUGGGUAAGGAGCACACUCCAAAUUUGUUAUUAUUCUCCCAGUACUCAUAAUGAUAGUCUCCCUGAUGUGCUAUAUUCUCUUAAAGGUUUUAAAUGUUUGCAUGCAGCCAUCUCUAGAACAUCAAAUGGUCUCUAUUCAACCAGAAUGACAAAAGCUGAAAGAAAUGUGUGACCCUGAGGAUAUCGUAACCUACGAAUGAUGUGCUGAGACUGGAAACCCUAAAUGAUGUUACUGAGAAUGGCACUAAGGCCUUAAGUUUUGGUCACACUGUCACCUAAGUGAGAACCUGGCUGAAAAGGGAGAAUUUUUAAACAACAAAAUUAGAGGAAGCCACUAUUUUGGACUGAGCUCAUGCACUAGGCCCCAACAAACGAAACCAAGCUAAAAUGGAGUCACUCAUCCUAAAUGUGACAUAAUCAAACCAAGGCUUUAAGAACACAGAUAGAUGCUAGAACAGACUACAUUUUGUUUUUCUCCUGUAAACAGGAUGUCUAUCAUAAGGAGGUACCGUCUACUCAGUCCUUAUUCUCUCCUUGCAAAACCCACUUUUCUACUGUUUCCCAGUGGGUUUCAAACCAUAUAAUACAUUUAUGAUAGUGAUAUUAACAUCAAUGACUAAGGUUUUGGUCAAUCUCUCAAAAUUGAGAAAAUGACCAAAAGAGGGAAAUGAUUGCUAAAGCAAACUAAAUAUGGCCUGGGAAGAACUCCAUAGUCUUAUAUUUGAGUUCUUGCAGAUGAACUGUAACUUAGCUUAAUAGUCAGACAAAACUGAAAACCUAACUUAAUAGUAUGCGUCUGUAACAAUGGCUGAGUGUUCGCUAAUCCCAGCGGCCAUACUUCAACCACUCAUAGACUGCUGAAAGUUCAAAGUGCAUUCAAAUAAGGCAAAAACGGAGCUUAACCAGCCUCACUGUUUCUGUAUCUCACUUCCGAUUCCUGUAUGUCACUUUACCUUUUUUGUCUAUAAAUGUGUUCUGACCACGAGGCACCCCAGGUCUCUGUGAAUCUGUUGUAAUUCUGGAGGUGCCUGAUUCGCCAAUCAUUCAUUGCUCAAUUAAACUCCUUUAAAUUUAACUCAGCUGGACUUUUCCUUUUAUCAGGUUGAAUUUUACAUAUCUACUUUAGAUUUUAAUUUCUUCUAUAAAUUAAAAUCUAAUCUUCCAUAAUUUCUGAUAAAAUGUUUGUUAAAUGAACUCAAUGCAUUGGACAAAAAUUUCCUGUUGCUUUUCUUUCAAAGUACAUAAAUUGAUGCUACUUUUUCCACCUUUCUCACAUUUUCUCUGUCCCAAUCUUACACUGGAGGUUCAAUAGUCUUCUUCAUGCCUCAAGUUCUUUCUCUUGUAAUAUGAAAGGCAUGUGGCCACUUUCCUUUUCUAAUUCUUUCAUAAAUCUAAACAUUUUCACUACCUAUUGGUUACUAUGCUCACCAUCUGGGUGAAGGCAUCAUUUGUACACAAAAUCUAUAAAAUAUACUAUUUACUUAUGUAAAAAACCUAAACAUGUACCUGCUGAACCUAAAAUAAAAGUUGAAAAAGAAAAAUAAAUAAAUAAUACCUUCCCAGAAUAUUGCCUAUAGGAACAAGUCUAAAUUCCUUAAUACAGAGUAAAAUGGUAAUAAAAUUCUUGCCCUGAUUUUCUUUCUUAGGCCUAUGUCAUUUCAACACUCCCCAUCACCAUUCUUCCCCAAUCUCUUCCAUUUUUUGAGUCUAAAAUCCUUAAUACAUUGAAUUUUUGUUCAAUAUUUGUUAUAUGCCCAAAACUAUGCUAAGCUGCUGGACUCGUGCUCUUUCACAAUUCCUUUUCUGUUCCUUUCAGACUAGUGAAAUGAUACUGAUUUUUAAUGAUCUGUCUUUUCUUGGAAAUUUCCUAUUUCCAAAUGUCAAAAAAAGAACUUAUAAUUUUUGUCUCUCCAUUUCCAUAACACUUAUCAAUGUCACUGACAUAGCCCUAAUAAUUAUGAGAUGUACAUUGUUAGUUACACACAUUUCUUGUUUUCCUACUUUUGAUGUCUUUAAGGUCAGAGAUUGUAUUUUACUCGUUUGUAUUCCUAUCAGAAAAAAAACUGUGGCUUACAUGUAAUAUACAUUCAGUAAUUGUUUGAAUGAAAAAUGUAUUAAAAUAGUAUGAGUAUCCAAGUUGGUGAUUCAAUUUAGUUAAUCUCUUCUGAUACCCCUACCCCAAAAAGGCAUAUGUAAAAGUGCAUAAAAUUGUGUGUAUGAAUAUGUAGAUCAAUAGAUAGAAGCAUCUGUGAACACAAAUAAGAAAUUUAGGAAAUGAUUAUCUUAGAAACUCUUUAGCAUCAAAUCUUAUUUAUUUAUUUAUUUAUUUGCUAUAGCUUUUGGGGAAAAGUUGGAUUUUUGUUACAUGGAUAAGUUCUCUUGUAGUAAUUCCUGAGAUUUUGGUGCACACUGUACCCAAUCUGUAUUCUUUAUUCCUCACCCCUCUCCCCGCAUUCCCCUUGAGUCUCUGAAGUCCCUUAUAUCAUUCUUACGCCUUUGCAGCCUCAUAACUUAGCUCCCACUUAUAAGUGAGAUCAUACAAAAUUUGGUUUUCCAUUCCUGAGUUACUUCACUUAGAAUAACUGUUUCCAGCUCCAUCCAGGUUGCUGAAAAUGCCAUUAUUUCAUUCAUUUUUAUGGCUGAGUAGUAUUCCAUGGUGUAUAUAUGCCACCUUUUCUUUAUUUACUCUUUGGCCAGUGGACAUUUAGGCUGAUUUCAUAUUUUUGCAAUUGUGAAUUUUGCUACUAUACACAUGUAUGUGCAAGUGUAUUUUUCAUACAAUGACUUCUUUUCCUCUGGGUAGAGACCCAGUAGUGCGAUUGCUGGAUGAAAUGCUAGUUCUACUUCUAGUUAUUUAAGGAAUCUCCAUACUGUUUUCCAUAUGGGUGGUACUAGUUUACAUUCCCAACAGCAGUAUAAAAGUGUUCCCUUUUCACCAUAUUCACGCUAAUAUUUAUUAUUUUUUAUUUUUAAUUAUGGUCAUUCUUGGAUCUCAUUGUAUUUUCAAUUUGCAUUUCCCUGGUAAUUAGAGAUGUUGAGCAUAUUUUCAUGUUUGUUGGCCAUUUGGAUAACUUUUUCUGAGAAUUGUCUGUUCAUGUCCUUUGCCCACUUUUUAAGUUUAAUUUAAUACUAAUCCUACUAUUAUAUAUAUAUAUAUAAG